rnacentral:rRNA from 1 species
CCUACGGGAGGCAGCAGUGGGGAAUAUUGCACAAUGGGGGAAACCCUGAUGCAGCGACGCCGCGUGAGUGAAGAAGUAAUUCGUUAUGUAAAGCUCUAUCAGCAGGGAAGAAAAUGACGGUACCUGAGUAAGAAGCCCCGGCUAACUACGUGCCAGCAGCCGCGGUAAUACGUAGGGGGCAAGCGUUCUCCGGAUUUACUGGGUGGAAAGGGAGCGUAGACGGCCGUGCAAGUCUGGAGUGAAAGGCGGGGGCUCAACCCCCGUACUGCUCUGGAAACUGUACGGCUGGAGUGCAGGAGAGGUAAGUAGAAUUCCUAGUGUAGCGGUGAAAUGCGUAGAUAUUAGGAGGAACACCAGUGGCGAAGGCGGCUUACUGGACUGUAACUGACGUUGAGGCGCGAAAGCGUGGGGAGCAAACAGGAUUAGAUACCCCUGUAGUC